rnacentral:tRNA from 1 species
ACACUGGUGGUUCAGUGGUAGAAUUCUUGCCUUCCAUGAGAGAGACCCGGGUUCUAUUCCUGGCCAAAGCA